rnacentral:rRNA from 1 species
UACGAAGGGGGCUAGCGUUGCUCGGAAUCACUGGGCGUAAAGGGCUCGUAGGCGGCCAACUAAGUCGGACGUGAAAUCUCCAGGCUCAACCUGGGAACUGCGUCCGAUACUGGAUGGCUUGAAUCCGGGAGAGGGAUGCAGAAUUCCAGGUGUAGCGGUGAAAUGCGUAGAUAUCUGGAGGAAUACCGGUGGCGAAGGCGGCAUCCUGGACCGGCAUUGACGCUGAGGAGCGAAAGCCAGGGGAGCAAACGGG